GUCUGCAUGGCUCAGUUGGUUAGAGCGCCGGUCUCAUACGCUUGUAUGAACCUCCUCUGUGAGGUGUAAUCCGGAGAUCGCCAGUUCGAUCCUGGCUGCGGACA
rnacentral:tRNA from 1 species